rnacentral:rRNA from 1 species
UGGGGAAUAUUGCACAAUGGGCGCAAGCCUGAUGCAGCCAUGCCGCGUGUAUGAAGAAGGCCUUCGGGUUGUAAAGUACUUUCAGCGGGGAGGAAGGGAGUAAAGUUAAUACCUUUGCUCAUUGACGUUACCCGCAGAAGAAGCACCGGCUAACUCCGUGCCAGCAGCCGCGGUAAUACGGAGGGUGCAAGCGUUACUCGGAAUUACUGGGCGUAAAGCGCACGCAGGCGGUUGAUUGAGUCAGAUGUGAAAUCCCCGGGCUUAACCCGGGAAUUGCAUCUGAUACUGGUCAGCUAGAGUCUUGUAGAGGGGGGUAGAAUUCCAUGUGUAGCGGUGAAAUGAGUAGAGAUGUGGAGGAAUACCGGUGGCGAAGGCGGCCCCCUGGACAAAGACUGACGCUCAGGUGCGAAAGCGUGGGGAGCAAACAGG